CGGAAGUUGAAGGGCGUGUCCUGCUAGCUUGGCUUCCUCAACAUGGCGGCGCCCUUGUGUGUGGAGGUGGAGUUCGGAGGUGGUGCGGAGCUCCUGUUUGAUGGAGUGAAAAAACAUCAAGUCACCUUGCCUGAGCAAGAGGGACCCUGGGACAUCCGGAACCUCCUUGUCUGGAUCAAGAAGAACUUGCUAAAAGAGCGGCCAGAGCUGUUCAUCCAGGGAGAGAGUGUGCGGCCAGGAAUUCUGGUGCUGAUUAAUGAUGCCGACUGGGAACUGCUGGUCAGUACCUCCUGUGACACUCUUCCCUAGCCCCUGCCUUCAAUGAGAAAUGCGGCUUCAGUGGGAAACCCUGGGCCUCUGAGCAGUCCAGGGGGAGCUGGACUACCAGCUGCAGGACCAGGACAGCAUCCUCUUCAUCUCCACACUGCACGGCGGCUGAGGGCUCCUCUGUGAGCCCAAGCACCUUUGUAAGGGGAGCACAGGACAACCACACCUCUCCUUGGGCCCUGCUUCCAGGUCCUCAGUCCCCCUUGGCUGCUUCCUUCUCUGCUGUACCCCUGAGCUCCCUCUAGGCAGGGAAAAGAGGCCAGGUGCUAAAAAUGAGCCUUUCUGGGCAAAGAACGUGAGCAGGGAGGGAGAGCAGACGCCUGAGCCCAGCACUCCUUCCCGCAGAGGUGGGGGAGGGUGCUCCUGUAAUAUUUCAGGAGUGAAGGGGGCUCUAUGCCCAGGUGACCCAGCUGCUUGCCACUCCUGUGUCUUGGUAUAUCUAAGCACUGAGUGACUGCCUGAAAGGCAUCUUCAUGGGAAAGAUGGAUGAACUGGAGUAACUGAUGAGAAGCCCCUCUCUUGCCAAAGAUUAGAGGGGCCUCCGCCUCAGUUUCCCCAUCUGGACACUGAAGACUCUGCUUGUCCCCCACUGAUGUCAUUAUGGAACCCCAGCUGGGGUCCCCUAUUCACUGCUCACCUCCCUCCCCUCCACCCAGCAGCUGCUCUCCUAGCCACACCCCUCCCCCCAAGCCCUUGACCCUGGCUGGCCUCCCUGCUACAUAAGCUACCAGAUGGGCUCCUGAGACACUUUCCAGACUGCCUACAACUCAUUCUGCUAGGGAGAGAAUGUAAGGAAGUAACCUAACCUUAGACAGCAGGCAGGGCCUCCAUGUGUAUGUAACUCCUAGCUUCCUGAAACAAGCAAGGUUUAAAUGUGCAGCACAGCACCUGGUAGACAGAGGAUUGUGCCCCCCUUUCCUCCAUCCCUUCUGGAAAUCUGGGGACCUUGUGCCUACAGCAGCUGGCCUUGGGCAAAUAAAAAGACUAGGUUUUUUACUA